rnacentral:rRNA from 1 species
UUAGUGGCGGACGGGUGAGUAACGCGUGGAAAACCUGCCGUAUACUGGGGGAUAACACUUAGAAAUAGGUGCUAAAACCGCAUAAGCGCACAGCUUCGCAUGAAGCGGUGUGAAAAACUCCGGUGGUGUAAGAUGGACCCGCGUCUGAUUAGCUUGUUGGCGGGGUAACGGCCCACCAAGGCGACGAUCAGUAGCCGGCCUGAGAGGGCGGACGGCCACAUUGGGACUGAGACACGGCCCAGACUCCUACGGAAGGCAGCAG